ACUCUGUGUGCUCUGAGCUUCUUUACAGUGUUGUCUUGUGGCAUGGAGAUCAAGCAGCAUUGUACAGGGCUAUCACAGCACACUGAACA
ensembl:miRNA